rnacentral:piRNA from 1 species
UAAAUUUCUUUUCUAGGUUUC